rnacentral:rRNA from 1 species
GACGAACGCUGGCGGCGUGCUUAACACAUGCAAGUCACGGGGGCCCGCAAGGGUAACCGGCGAACGGGUGCGUAACACGUGAGCAAUCUGCCGUCCACUGGGGGAUAGCCGGCCCAACGGCCGGGUAAUACCGCAUACGCUUGCCGGGUGGCAUCACUUGGCAAGGAAACCUCCGGGGGUGGACGAGGAGCUCGCGGCCUAUCAGCUAGUUGGUGGGGUCACGGCCCACCAAGGCGAUGACGGGUAGCUGGUCUGAGAGGAUGGCCAGCCACAUUGGGACUGAGAUACGGCCCAGACUCCUACGGGAGGCAGCAGUGGGGAAUAUCGCGCAAUGGCCGCAAGGCUGACGCAGCGACGCCGCGUGGGGGAUGAAGCAUUUCGGUGUGUAAACCCCUGUUGCCCGGGACGAACCUCCCCUUGCGAGGGGACUGACGGUACCGGGUGAGGAAGCACCGGCUAACUCCGUG